GGUUAGAGCGCGCGCUUGAUAAGCGUGAGGUCGGAAGUUCAAGUCUUCCCAGGCCCACCACUUUCAGUGAGCAUUCGUCUUCUGGUUACGGGGCCAUAGCUCAGCUGGGAGAGCGCGUGCUUUGCAAGCAUGAGGUCGUCGGUUCGAUCCCGUCUGGCUCCACCAGAUGGUUUGAUCACCGAGAUCUUGUACCGUCGUCCGCGAAACAUCACUUCGCAUCCUGCUAGUCUGGAUAGACAGCAAGAUGCGUGUUUUCUGACAUCGUAAAGAGGAGAUCGAUCCGAGUUGGGUCGUGCAGCAGAUUGUUGCGCGGAUCCUUCAUUAUCUCCGGAUCAUUUUCGGCGCUCGCUCUCAGCCGUGAGGUUGAAUGCGAGUUGUAAAAUGAUCCUUUUAGCGAAGCUUGACCGCCUCGCUAUCGGAACGAUCUUACGAAGCAAGCUGGUCUUUCUAGUCAAUGUCCGGCUGCACGUAGCAUUCAUCGAGGGUGCGCGCCUUAGAGACUUCGGUUUCUUGGCAAUCGUGCAGACAACAUUCUGCCGAGUGUGUGGACGUUGAUAAUGAGAGCAAUCAAGUGCCUUAAGGGUGUUCGGUGGAUGCCUUGGCGCUGAGAGGCGAUGAAGGACGUGCUACGCUGCGAUAAGCCGUGG
rnacentral:misc_RNA from 1 species